rnacentral:rRNA from 1 species
AUUGAACGCUGGCGGCAGGCUUAACACAUGCAAGUCGAGCGGGGAAAAGUAACUUGCUACUUAACUUAGCGGCGGACGGGUGAGUAAUACUUAGGAAUCUGCCUAUUAGUGGGGGACAACAUUUCGAAAGGAAUGCUAAUACCGCAUACGUCCUACGGGAGAAAGCAGGGGAUCACUUGUGACCUUGCGCUAAUAGAUGA